GUUAGGAAUCUUCCACAAUGGGGGCAACCCUGAUGGAGCAACACCGCGUGCUGGAUGAAGGCCUUCGGGUCGUAAACAGCUUUUGUAUACGAAGAAUAUGACGGUAAUAUACGAAUAAGGGUCGGCUAACUACGUGCCAGCAGCCGCGGUCAUACGUAGGACCCAAGCGUUAUCCGGAGUGACUGGACGUAAAGAGUUGCGUAGGCGGCUUAUUAAGCGAGUAGUGAAAUCUGGUGGCUCAACCAUCAACACAUUGCUCGAACUGAUAGGCUUGAGAAUGGUAGAGGUAGUUGGAAUUUCUUGUGUAGGAGUGAAAUCCGUAGAUAUAAGAAGGAACACCAAUGGCGUAGGCAGACUACUGGACCAUUUCUGACGCUGAGGCACGAAAGCGUGGGGAGCGAACCGGAUUAGAAACCCUUGUAGUCC
rnacentral:rRNA from 1 species